rnacentral:rRNA from 1 species
CCUACGGGUGGCUGCAGUGAGGAAUAUUGGUCAAUGGGCGCGAGCCUGAACCAGCCAAGUAGCGUGAAGGAUGACUGCCCUACGGGUUGUAAACUUCUUUUAUAAGGGAAUAAAGUGUUGCACGUGUGCCUUUUUGUAUGUACUUUAUGAAUAAGGAUCGGCUAACUCCGUGCCAGCAGCCGCGGUAAUACGGAGGAUCCGAGCGUUAUCCGGAUUUAUUGGGUUUAAAGGGAGCGUAGAUGGGUUGUUAAGUCAGUUGUGAAAGUUUGCGGCUCAACCGUAAAAUUGCAGUUGAUACUGGCAGCCUUGAGUACAGUAGAGGUAGGCGGAAUUCGUGGUGUAGCGGUGAAAUGCUUAGAUAUCACGAAGAACUCCGAUUGCGAAGGCAGCUCACUAAACUGCAACUGACAUUGAUGCUCGAAAGUGUGGGUAUCAAACAGGAUUAGAUACCCUAGUAGUC